rnacentral:rRNA from 1 species
AUUGAACGCUGGCGGCAGGCUUAACACAUGCAAGUCGAGCGAGCGGCGGACGGGUGAGUAAUGUCUGGGAAACUGCCUGAUGGAGGGGGAUAACUACUGGAAACGGUAGCUAAUACCGCAUACCAUCGGAUGUGCCCACAGGGGAUUAGCUAGUAGGUGGGGUAAAGGCUCACCUAGGCGACGAUCCCUAGCUGGUCUGAGAGGAUGACCAGCCACACUGGGACUGGGACACGGUCCAGACUGCUACGGGAGGCAGCAUGGGGGAAUAUUGCACAAUGGGGGCAAGCCUGAGACAGCCAUGCCGCGUGUAUGAAGAAGGCCUUCGGGUUGUAAAGUACUUGCGGCAGGGAGGCGUUACCCGCAGAAGAAGCACCGGCUAACUCCGUGCCAGCAGCCGCGGUAAUAC